rnacentral:rRNA from 1 species
UACGGAGGGUGCAAGCGUUAUCCGGAUUCACUGGGUUUAAAGGGUGCGUAGGCGGGUUGGUAAGUCCGUGGUGAAAUCCCCAGCUUAACUUGGGAACUGCCGUGGAUACUAUCAAUCUUGAAUAUCGUGGAGGUAAGCGGAAUAUGUCAUGUAGCGGUGAAAUGCUUAGAUAUGACAUAGAACACCAAUUGCGAAGGCAGCUCACUACGCGAAUAUUGACACUGAGGCACGAAAGCGUGGGAUCAAACAGG